UUCCUUUCCUGUUUUAUUUGAGAGAACAAUUAUGAUGAAUAAAAACAGAAGUGCAGAACUGACCAGUCUUCGAAUUCAUUACAUACUGAAGGAACCAAUUGAUACUUAUUUCAUUUAUACCUAAAGUGAUAUUUCAAGCCUCAGACUUUGAUAGUGCGUGCGACAGCAAAACGAUUCCCGAUGCUCCUGGAAAUUGAUGAAUCUGACCCCGGACAAGGAGAAAAACCAAUGAUGUACUGUUACAGUCUGCGCGAUGCAUCAAAUGGACUGGAGGGUGUUAAUGAUGUGGACACUAGUCUGUAAAGGUGUCUGAGUCUUUUUCCCUGUCUCAGCUACGGAGGGACAGGUUUUUGGCUCAGCAGGGUAACAGAGAGAGAUCAUUUUGAGCUCCGAGUAUGGAAAUUGUAGUUGAACCAAAUUUCGGAUUAAAAUGCUGGACUUUAUUUUGGCUUUGGUGCACGGCCUCUGAGUGUUCUCUUUCUGUGUGAAACCCUGUGGGUCUCAAAGGGGGGAUUAUAUUGAGAAAUAUACCUGACAUAAUCACUAUAUAUACCUGAAAUAUAACCACUAUGUACUAGCUAUUUACUACACUAUGUAAUCACUCCUAUGUACUGAAUAUUACUAUGUAUUAUUUUACUAGGCACUUUUUGCUAUGUAUUGUUUUACUAGAUACCUUGUAUUCUCUUAGCUGCAUACUGUGGCAGUUAAAGAACACCUGUUUAGCUAGCAGCACGAGUUAGCUGAAAUGUACUCCAUGUAUUAUACUCAGCCCUUGUUCAUUAAGAGAUAACGAUGGCAGACAGGGUGGUACAAGCAGAAGAUGUAAUGUGAGGGAGGUUAAGGAGGCUGACUGAGAAACAACCUUGACCAGGAAUAAGGCCCAAGAUGUGAACUGGAAAGAAAUACUGGUGACGCACCGAGAGCUAGGCAAGAGUGUUUGAUUAGUUAAUGUAUAGAUGAAAUGCAACUAAAAAUUGAUUGGGUAUGCUGAUAAAACCGAAACGUAACUGAGAUAAGAAAUUACUAUAAAGAAUGCUGUACACCGGAGCUUGGUGGGCUUUUGGUGACAAGUUCAUUGAUUGCCUCAGCCUUUGUUUGCAAAUAAAGGU